GAUGAACGCUAGCGGCAGGCUUAACACAUGCAAGUCGAGGGGCAGCGCGAUGUAGCAAUACAUUGGCGGCGACCGGCGCACGGGUGCGUAAUACGUAUGGAACUUACCCUUUACUGGGAGAUAGCCCGGAGAAAUCCGGAUUAAUAUCCCAUAAUAAACGAAGUGGCAUCACUUUGUUUUGAAAGCUCCGGCGGUAAAGGAUGGCCAUGCGCACGAUUAGCUAGUAGGUGGGGUAACGGCUCACCUAGGCUACGAUCGUUAGGGGGCCUGAGAGGGUUAUCCCCCACACUGGUACUGAGACACGGACCAGACUCCUACGGGAGGCAGCAGUGAGGAAUAUUGCGCAAUGGAGGCAACUCUGACGCAGCCAUGCCGCGUGCAGGAAGAAGGCGCUACGCGUUGUAAACUGCUUUUAACCGGGAAGAAACCCUCCGACGUGUCGGAGGUUGACGGUACCGGAGGAAUAAGCACCGGCUAACUUCGUGCCAGCAGCCGCGGUAAAGUC
rnacentral:rRNA from 1 species